CUGUGACAUUUGGGGACGGGGACAAAUGUCCCUGGGGGGCACGGCGUUGGGCAGGAGGGCGUUGAGGAGGUGACAGAGAAGAACUCCAUCCCUCAACGCCUGUGCCAGGUCCCAAACUUGUCCUGUGGGGCUGCUGGCGCGGUGACCGGCCGGGAGAACCCGUGCUGUCACCAACCAAUGAGCGCAUUGCCUCCACACCUCCAUGGGGGGACAACUGGGGGUCGUUUUUGGGGAAGAGGAAGGUGGGAAGUGGGGUCGUGGUGGGGUCACAGGUGGAAAGAGGUGAUGGGGAUGGGAUCCUGUGGGUCGCUUCUGGAAGGAGAUGAUGGAUAUGGGGUCGUGGUGGGGACACAGGUGGAAAGAGGUGAUGGGGAUGGGAUCCAGGUGGGUCGCUUCUGGAAGGAGAUGAUGGAUAUGGGGUCGUGGUGGGGUCACAGGUGGAAAGAGGUGAUGGGGAUGGGAUCCUGUGGGUGACUUCUGGAAGGAGAUGAUGGAUAUGGGGUCCUGGUGGGGUCACAGGUGGAAAGAGGUGAUGGGGAUGGGAUCCUGUGGGUCACUUUUGGGAUGGAUGAGGUGGAUACGGGGUCCUGGUGGGAUCACAGGUGGAAAGGGAUGAUGGAGGUGGGAUCCUGGUGGGUCCCUCUGGGGAGGAGCAGUGGUUGUGGGGUCCUGGUGGGGUCACUUCUGGAAGGAGAUGAUGGAUAUGGGGUCGUGGUGGGGUCACAGGUGGAAAGAGGUGAUGGGGAUGGGAUCCUGUGGGUCACUUCUGGAAGGAGAUGAUGGAUAUGGGGUCGUUGUGGGGUCACAGGUGGAAAGAGAUGAUGGGGAUGGGAUCCUGUGGGUCACUUUUGGGAUGGAUGAGGUGGAUACGGGGUCCUGGUGGGAUCACAGGUGGAAAGGGAUGAUGGAGGUGGGAUCCUGGUGGGUCCCUCUGGGGAGGAGCAGUGGUUGUGGGGUCCUGGUGGGGUCACUUCUGGAAGGAGACGAUGGAUAUGGGGUCACUGUGGGGUCACAGGUGGAAAGAGGUGAUGGGGAUGGGAUCCUGUGGGUCACUUUUGGGAUGGAUGAGGUGGAUACGGGGUCCUGGUGGGAUCACAGGUGGACAGAGAUGAUGGAGGUGGGAUCCUGUGGGUCACUGCCAGAAGAAAAGAUGGAUAUGGGGUUUUUGUGGGUCACUUCUGGAGGGAGGUGAUGGAUAUGGGGUGCUGGUGGGUCCCUCUGGGGAGGAGCAGUGGUUGUGGGGUCCUGGUGGGGUCGCUUCUGGAAGGAGACGAUGGGGAUGGGAUCCUGUGGGGUCACAGGUGGAAAGAGAUGAUGGGGAUGGGAUCCUGUGGGUCACUUUUGGGAUGGAUGAGGUGGAUACGGGGUCCUGGUGGGAUCACAGGUGGAAAGGGAUGAUGGAGGUGGGAUCCUGGUGGGUCCCUCUGGGGAGGAGCAGUGGUUGUGGGGUCCUGGUGGGGUCACUUCUGGAAGGAGACGAUGGAUAUGGGGUCACUGUGGGGUCACAGGUGGAAAGAGGUGAUGGGGAUGGGAUCCAGGUGGGUCACUUCUGGAAGGAGAUGAUGGAUAUGGGGUCGUUGUGGGGUCACAGGUGGAAAGAGGUGAUGGGGAUGGGAUCCAGGUGGGUCACUUUUGGGAUGGAUGAGGUGGAUAUGGGGUCGUUGUGGGGUCACAGGUGGAAAGAGAUGAUGGGGAUGGGAUCCUGUGGGUCACUUUUGGGAUGGAUGAGGUGGAUAUGGGGUCCUGGUGGGAUCACAGGUGGAAAGAGGUGAUGGAGGUGGGGUCCUGGUGGAUCACUUCUGGAAGGAUGAGGUGGAUACGGGGUCCUGGUGGGUCACUGCCAGAAGAAAAGAUGGAUAUGGGGUUGUUGUGGGUCACUUCUAGGAGGAGAUGAUGGAGAUGAGGUCCUGGUGGGUCCCUCUGGGGAGGAGCAGUGGUUGUGGGGUCCUGGUGGGGUCGCUUCUGGAAGGAGACGAUGAAUAUGGGGUCCUGGUGGGGUCACAGGUGGACAGAGAUGAUGGAGGUGGGAUCCUGUGGGUCACUGCCAGAAGAAAAGAUGGAUAUGGGGUUGUUGUGGGUCACUUCUGGAGGGAGGUGAUGGAUAUGGGGUGCUGGUGGGUCCCUCUGGGGAGGAGCAGUGGUUGUGGGGUCCUGGUGGGGUCGCUUCUGGAAGGAGACGAUGAAUAUGGGGUCGUUGUGGGGUCACAGGUGGAAAGAGAUGAUGGGGAUGGGAUCCUGUGGGUCACUUCUGGAAGGAUGAGGUGGAUACGGGGUCCUGGUGGGAUCACUCUGGACGGAUCUGAUGGAUGUAGGAUCGUAGUGGGAUCACUCUGGAUGGAUCCGAUGGAUGUAGGAUCGUGGUGGGAUCACUCCGGAUGGAUCCGAUGGAUGUAGGAUCGUGGUGGGAUCACUCUGGACGGAUCUGAUGGAUGUAGGAUUGUGGUGGGAUCACUCUGGAUGGAUCCAAUGGAUGUAGGAUUGAGGUGGGAUCACUCUGGAUGGAUCCGAUGGAUGUAGGAUCGUGGUGGGAUCACUCUGGAUGGAUCCAAUGGAUGUAGGAUCCUGUUGGGAUCACUCUGGAUAGAGCUGGUGGAGAUUAUGGGGUCGUGGUGGGAUCACUCUGGACGGAUCCGAUGGAUGUAGGAUCGUGGUGGGAUCACUCUGGAUGGAUCCGAUGGAUGUAGGAUCGAGGUGGGAUCACUCUGGAUGGAUCCGAUGGAUGUAGGAUCGUGGUGGGAUCACUCUGGAUGGAUCUGAUGGAUGUAGGAUCGAGGUGGGAUCACUCUGGAUGGAUCCGAUGGAUGUAGGAUUGUGGUGGGAUCACUCUGGACGGAUCUGAUGGAUGUAGGGUCGUGGUGGGAUCACUCUGGACGGAUCCAAUGGAUGUAGGAUUGAGGUGGGAUCACUCUGGACGGAUCUGAUGGAUGUAGGAUCCUGUUGGGAUCACUCUGGAUGGAUCUGAUGGAUGUAGGAUCCUGUUGGGAUCACUCUGGAUAGAGCUGGUGGAGAUGAUGGGGUCCUGGUGGGAUCACUCUGGACGGAUCCGAUGGAUGUAGGAUCGUGGUGGGAUCACUCCAGACGGAUCCAAUGGAUGUAGAAUCGAGGUGGGAUCACUCUGGACGGAUCCAAUGGAUGCAGAAUCGAGGUGGGAUCACUCUGGAUGGAUCUGAUGGGUGUAGGAUUGUGGUGGGAUCACUCCGGAUGGAUCCGAUGGAUGUGGGAUCGAGGUGGGAUCACUCUGGAUAGAGCUGGUGGAGAUGAUGGGGUCGUGGUGGGAUCACUCUGGACGAAGCCGAUGGAUGUAGGAUUGCGGUGGGAUCACUCUGGAUGGAUCCAAUGGAUGUAGGAUCGAGGUGGAAUCACUCCGGAUGGAUCCAAUGGAUGUGGGAUCGAGGUGGGAUCACUCUGGAUGGAUCCGAUGGAUGUAGGAUCGAGGUGGGAUCACUCUGGACGGAUCCGAUGGAUGUAGGAUCGAGGUGGGAUCACUCCAGACGGAUCCGAUGGAUGUGGGAUCGAGGUGGGAUCCCUUCUGACCCUCCCUCCCCACGGGACAAUGGCGCUGAGUCCCCGCGGCCGUGGGAAGGACCAACCACCACCUUCCUCUUCCCACCACCGCCACCGGAUCCGGACAGGGGCCGACCGCGAUGCGUCCCUCCCCGCC